CGUAAUUUUGCGUGCUGCUAUUCGCUUGUGUCAAACGGGCGCCAGACAACUCGGCGUCAAGUGGACUACUGAUCUUGGACACCUGACUUUCCCAACAUUGUUGUACUGGAAUGUCACAUCGGUCACUGGUUGAGAGCGCCUCUUGGGAGGCGCGCAUUGCCUAUCGAUUUUCUUGAUGCCUUGGGCGCAGUGCGCAUGUGUGAAGGCUUCGCAAUUCAGCGGAAGAAGAGGAUGCGUGGCCUGGUGCUGUUACGGACAAGACACAGCUGCCCACUGUGGCAGUAUCAGGAGCGGUGAAACGGCGUGUUGCGCUCCGUCGUCAUCCAUCUGUAUAUGCACGGCUGUGAUAGCAUGCGGCGAGAGCUACCCCCUCAACGUGCGGCGGAACAGCCGCGAAUGUGGCAUC